AAAAGAAACCACAGGGAUUGCCCUAGUAACGGCGAGUGAAGCGGCAACAGCUCAAAUUUGAAAUCUGGCUCUUUCAGAGUCCGAGUUGUAAUUUGCAGAGGGCGCUUUGGUGUUGGCAGCGGUCCAAGUUCCUUGGAACAGGACGUCACAGAGGGUGAGAAUCCCGUACGUGGUCGCUAGCCUUCGCCGUGUAAAGCCCUUUCGACGAGUCGAGUUGUUUGGGAAUGCAGCUCUAAAUGGGAGGUAAAUUUCUUCUAAAGCUAAAUACUGGCCAGAGACCGAUAGCGCACAAGUAGAGUGAUCGAAAGAUGAAAAGCACUUUGGAAAGAGAGUCAAAUAGCACGUGAAAUUGUUGAAAGGGAAGCGCUUGCAGCCAGACUUGCCUGUAGUUGCUUAUCUAGACUUUUGUCUAGUGCACUCUUCUGCGGGCAGGCCAGCAUCAGUUUGGGCGGUUGGAUAAAGGUCUCUGUCAUGUACCUCUCUUCGGGGAGAACUUAUAGGGGAGACGACAUGCAACCAGCCUGGACUGAGGUCCGCGCAUCUGCUAGGAUGCUGGCGUAAUGGCUGUAAGCGGCCCGUCUUGAAACACGGACCAAGGAGUCUAACAUCUAUGCGAGUGUUUGGGUGUCAAGCCCAGACGCGUAAUGAAAGUGAACGGAGGUGGGAACCCUUUGGGUGCACCAUCGACCGAUCCUGAUGUCUUCGGAUGGAUUUGAGUAAGAGCAUGGCUGUUGGGACCCGAAAGAUGGUGAACUAUGCUUGAAUAGGGUGAAGCCAGAGGAAACUCUGGUGGAGGCUCGCAGCGGUUCUGACGUGCAAAUCGAUCGUCAAAUUUGGGCAUAGGGGCGAAAGAC
rnacentral:rRNA from 1 species